rnacentral:lncRNA from 1 species
CGGGCGGUCCAAGACGAGGAGUAGACAGGGCAUUUGACACUAAGGGAAACUGCCGGGCGGUGGCGAUUGCCGUCGGGCGGUGGCGGCAGGUUAUGGGAAACCGCCGGGCGGCACACUUAAAGUGUCCGGCGGUGGCUCGCUGGACUUGGGCCUGAUUUUGACGCGCUCCUCACCUAUAUAUACCCCUAUUACGAAUUCAGAGUCAUUCUUUUGACAGGGGAGAACGGCCAGACCUAAUUUUGCUCUCUGAAGAGGAUCUCUUGGAUGCUCAGGC